AUUGAACGCUGGCGGAAUGCUUUACACAUGCAAGUCGAACGGCAGCACGGGGGCAGCCCUGGUGGCGAGUGGCGAACGGGUGAGUAAUACAUCGGAACGUGCCCAGUCGUGGGGGAUAACGUAGCGAAAGUUACGCUAAUACCGCAUACGAUCUACGGAUGAAAGCGGGGGACCGUAAGGCCUCGCGCGAUUGGAGCGGCCGAGGUCAGAUUGGGUAGUUGUUGAGGUAAAGGCUCACCAAGCCGACGAUCUGUAGCUGGUCUGAGAGGACGACCAACCACACUGGGACUGAGGCACGGCCCAGACUCCUGCGGGAGGCAGCAGUGGGGAAUUUGGGACAAUGGGCGCGAGCCGGAUACAGCCAUUCCGCGUGCAGGACGAAGGCGUUCGGGUUGUAAACUGCUUUUGUACGGAACGAAAAGGCGCUGGUUAAUACCUGGGGCUCAUGACGGUACCGUAAGAAUAAGCACCGGCUAACUACGUGCCAGCCGCCGCGGUAA
rnacentral:rRNA from 1 species